rnacentral:siRNA from 1 species
UUAAAGAUGAUUCAGGCCAGUC